CAGCCGGGACGGUAGCUGCGGUGCGGACCGGAGGAGCCAUCUUGUCUCGUCGCCGGGGAGUCAGGCCCCUAACUCGAAGAAGCCCUGGCGCGCCCUCCCCCCCUCCCCGGUCUGGUAGGGCGAAGGAGCGGGCGCGCGGUCGAUCGAGCGAUCGGUUGGCGGCUCUUUCUCCUGCUCUGGCAUCCAGCUCUUGGGGCGCAGGCCCGGCCGCCGCGGCGCGCGCCCGGUGGCCGCUGGCGCUCGCGCCGAGUCUUUCUUCUCGUCCGCAGAACUCGGGCGGCGGCCUAUGCGUUUGCGAUUCGACGAGGAGUCGUCCGGGUGGUUGGUGGUGGCGGGCAGCUGCUCCGCCCCGCUCCCGGGGAGGCGGCGGCGGCGGGACUUGGCGCGGCCGGGGAAGCGGGGGCGGCCGGGGCCGGCCUGGAGGCCUGGCGCCACCCUUCGGGGCCUGCAAGGACCCAGUUGGAGGGACAGGAAGGGGCCGGGGGAUGGUUGGUGGUGGGCUUCCUACUUUGCCUUUUCCUCCUUAUGCCGCCUUAAGUGAGAGGCGGGGGCUCCGGCGGCAGCUCCGGGCUGGGAAGCGGGCCCCGGAGUCGGAAGAGCUGGGUUUGCUUCCGGGCCUAGCCACCAGCGGGCCGGGUGACCUCAGGCAGGUCCCUCUGUAAUCUGCGCCUCAGUUUCCUCCUCUGUCUGUGUUUGUGGGGUUAAAAGCGCUUUGUAAACUUAGAAAGCGUCCGUGUACAUAAGGGAUCAUUAUUAUUUGUAAAAUUUCCUGAUUUGUAAGAAGAAAAGCAGUUUCCCAAUCCAUCGAUUUGGAACCUAAGGAACCUUGGAUUGGAGUUGGAAAUCCCCAAACUCCCCGAAAUCGUAGGCAGGAAGUAGUGGGGAUGUGCAUUUUAGGGGAGUGAGGAUCCAUCGCCAACAAGUUCUCAAAGGGAGAAGCCACCCCUCCCUCCCCCAAAGAGUUAACCACAAUUUCUCAAUGCCACGGGGAGGAAAUUGAGGCCCAGAUGUCAUUUGAGAUCCUCCACAACCAAUUUGAAGCCCCUGUUCGAAUCCCUGGGAUAUGUGAGCUUUUCUGUGCAUUAUGGAUAUUGGGGUAACAACACUCCACUGCUUGGCUUUUUUCCUGAGUCCUUUCCUUUCCCCGUGGGGUGCCUGAAGGGUGGCUAAUGCAUAUGGUACAGCGGCAUCCAGUAUAAAGCAGCUGAAACGAGGGGUGGAUGAGUUCUCUAGUAUCCAGAAGCCUGUCUCAUCUUUGGCCCAUUCACUUGGCUGCUGUUUAUACUGGUGCCUACCUUUCUGACUCUUUCCUUCCCCAUUUUUCACAACCAUGUUUGCCAUCUGUUACUUGCUCCUAUUUUAUACCCCUGGUCUCUGUGGCUGGUAGUGAGCAGGCUUAUGGUGCUGCCAAGUCAAGCUAAUUAAUGGUGCAGGUGGAUUUUUCGAAAGCUGGCUCACUGGAACAGACUGAUCCAGGCAGGAAUUCCUGAAGAUGCUACGGGGGUAUUUUUAUUAAAUGAAGGUUAACGUUUUCUGAACAAUUGAGUUCGAACCUGUGCUGAACCUCAGAAUCAGUAGAUUUGGAAGUUUUUCCAAGCUUAACUUUAUUUUUUCCUGGACUGCUUUGUACUCUCUUUGCUUGCAAGUGUGUUGCUAAGGUGGCCAAAUGCCCAUUUUUUGCUUCUUUGUUCAUUGUCAGCUGCUUUUAUCUGAUUCCAGGCUAUUACCCGGCAAACACUAUAGAAAUGUUUGAACAGCUGGAUUUCAAACAUUUUUGUGUUGUGGAGUGGUACAACUCUAAGCAAACGAACACACACGUUUAAGUGUAUUUUGUCUGGUUAACAUGUUACCCGGUUCUGCUAUUGCAUCCAAAUGUCUGAAAGAAAAAAAUCAACUGACUGUUCCUUUACCUAAAGGACAGAGACAAACGAUCUCACUUCCAGAGAAAUAACUUAUUUGGGGGGAAAUGUGUUGGUGUUUUGUAAUAAAACCUGGAUGUACUGCUAAAGAAUCUUGAGAUUGUGGUGAGAAGAUGCUUUUCUCAGCAGAAAAAAGGGACACAAACAUCUGGAACUCAAAGCUUGAAAUUCUGUGACAAAACGCGCGACGUCCAGGAUCGAGGUUUGAGAGGGUUUCACUACAGUGUUUCGCACUCGCUGGAGCAGAGGUCUUUCAGUCGCCACGGCGUGGACUCCAGAUUUGCAAGACCUGGGACCUGGGUGUGUGUGUGUGAGGAUGUGGUAGGAACUCUGGAGCUGGAUAGUUUCAAUUUGGGGACUAUUGACCUCGCUUUCAGAAGAGAGGCGACAACGACGACUACGCAAGCAGUGCCACUAGCGCUGUUCCUGGGAGUUUGAAGGCCUGAGUUUCUGCCAGAGCUCAGUGCACACUCUGACGAUGCUGCAUCCAAACCGAACCACGAUAGCAAGCCCUUGGAAAAAGUCUUCGAAUCUUUGCCCACACAUACUACAACAUACAAUGAAGCUUUUAAUAGGAUAGAGGAAUUUAGAGAUCAGGCUAUCCCAGAGUAAGCAUUCACCUACAGGUUUGGUACCUGGAGUUCUGUCCGUGGUGAUUUCUGUCUCCUUGCUACUGAAGAAGAUACCAUUCCAGUGGACCACGGUGACCCAAGGGACAGUCAGCCAUCACGAUAUGGCCUUCACCUCCACUCCUGGCCUUCACCACCGAUUGAACACAUCCCUUAGGUGAAGUCACUCCUCAAGCCAAAUAGCUGAGACUGGUUUCAUCACAACAGAGGCUCAGUUGGUUCCAUGAGUGUGUAUUUUGUUUCUUCAGUUAAAGCCUUCAGAGAGACACAAUAAAUUUGGACCAGGGGAUUCUUAGUUUUCAACAUUGUCUGAAGAACGGUAACAUCUUAACAACAUUGGACCACAAUCUCAAAUGUUUAUGAAGUGUUGAGGAUCCCAUACAGGUCACUGGACACUAAUCUUUUUCCACAUCAAAUCUGUAGUAUCCUACUGAAUGAGAAAGCAGGUGUUCUGACCCAUUGGGAUAAAAACAAAGGCCUAGUGAAGUCCUCGUAGCAUCUUUGGGAUUAUUCGGGAACUAGAACUUUUCACACAAAUGUAAGGAAUUUUACAAAGGAAUCCUUUACCCAGCAUCUCACAAAGCUUCAAUCAGAUUCCAAGAAAGGCCACUGGAGAUAUCCAGGUAGAACCUAUAAUGGUAAUCCCUUAUGUUUUUAUCGCACUUUACAGUCUCAGAGCACUUUUACAUGUGUUAAUAUCAAAAUCCCACACUAGACUAUAAUCCUGUUUUGCAAAUAAGGAAAUGGGAUUUGAAAGGUUAUCAGGUGGUAGAGGCCAAACCUUCUGACUCCCGGUCCAGUUCUUUCCUUGGAAUUAAUAUUGCCUCUACGCACAGUGUUAAGACGACGGCAGGUUGGGAACCCCAGAAAAGUGCCCUCAACCAGGAUAUCAUACAUGUAAUACCGUGAUAGCGGCCCUAGACCAGAAUUCCAUGGAAACACCCCUAAGGUUUAGGAGCAGACUCUAUGGUGGUAGAUUGUCCAGUCAACAAGACACGUUCAUUCACAACACUACCAACAUGAAACAAAGCUGCUGUUAAGAUAUUUUGUCUGUCUUUGGUCUUCACAAAGAUGACCUAUUGACUGGGGAAUCCUUGUGCAAUCAUGCCUCUGUUUUAUGUUGUUAAGUCUUAAGAUCUUAUCAAUGGUUCUUUUAUCAACCCCCUAACUAAUAAUUGUACCAUCCAUUUCGAGCAGUGCUGUUUAUGUAUGUGUAUUGGUAUACACAACAUAUGUCAUACAUAUAGAGCUGCUGUAGUCCAGUAAGGUGGUAAAAAUACUAUCAAAUGUGUCCCCUCUCAUUGAUAAUGCAGUGUAGUGUAUUAAAGAAUAUCAUAAGGCUUACAGCAAAAAACAACUGUCAUUUAGCUGUUUAGUCUGGUGUGUUCUAAGUUGAAUCAAACAGAAUGUUAUCUUGCAGCAUUCCUUUCAAUGGAAUGAGGCAGCUGCUGAAGAGUGGCACAGCCAGUGCUUUUUGAAUGCCAACCGAUUGCCCUGGAGGCCCAGGAACAAACUGCAUCUUUGACACACACAUCCCUUUUUUCUUAUCAAUAACAACUUUGAAUUGGCAUGUUUCCAUAAUCAGAAUUUUUUUUAGAGUUCUUUUUUUAAAAAAAUAUAUUUUUAUUAAUUUUCUACAGAGAGGAAGGGAGAGAGACAGCAAGAAACAUCGAUCAGCUGCCUCCUGCACAGCCCCCACUGGGGAUGUUCCCACAACCAAGGCACAUGCCCUUGACCAGAACCAAACCUGGGACCCUUCAGUCCGCAGGCUGACGCUCUAUCUACUGAGCCAAGCUGAUUUAGGCAGAAUUCUUUUUCUUGACCAUUACCUUGAUUUCCUGUCAAAGGAACCUCUAAAAGAUUAGUGGGAAUACUAGGGAGGGGGAGAGGGGAAAGUUAAUUCAUCCAAAUGUGGAUGGAUUCUAUGACAUACAGUGAUAGAUUUCUCUGUAUCCUACCAUUGUGCUCCAAACCUAGUCCAAGGUCAUUGCAUCUCAGAUGGGUGAAAGAUUGGGAAGGGAAAAAAGAGGAAGUGGGUGGGGAAAAAAUGGAGGAUGAGGAGAUAUUGCAUUAGAAUUUCUGAAUUGUGGCCCACUGAGAUCUCAGUGCUUAAAAAGAAGUCAUCUAGCAUGGACUUCUUGGGGUAAUAUUUACAAAGAAAUGAAUGCAUUUCGCAGCUGUAUUCUGACUGCAAAAGCCCCAGUGCUAUUGUCAUGUAAGACUUUUCUCUGAUAGUCACAAGCCCAAUUUCAGGAAAUGAAUGUUUGAAUGUUGAAUUUCAUAAUUCUGUAAUGUGGCCCACCUUAGGGGAAGAAUGAAUAGGAAAACUCCUUGGCUUACCAAAGACUUGGCUUACCCAGUGUCUGGUUUCUGUGACCCAUUUUUUGUAUUUCAGCGUUUUGUGAACAACUUAUGCUUAGAUGAUUGGCUUUCCAAAGGCUCUGGCCGUGAAGCCCUUUGAACGGAAACUGUGGAAGCCCUAAGUAAAAGUGAAGUUGCUCUGGACGAAGCAGAGUGGCAGUCCUGAAAGCUGCCACAAGCAUCCUCCUCUGUCGCCAUGGUGACGCCUAAGGAGAGACUCCUUUACAGCACCUAGAAUUCUUCAGAACACAUUUGGAAAAACAGUACUCUAGACAACCUGUUCGACCUGAAUGAUAUUCCAACCUGUACCUCUACCCAACGCAGUCCAUGUUCAGUUGGUGCUGAACAUUCUUAGGAAUACUUAACUAUGGACACACUCAGAAAAGCGCAAGAACUUUGCCUCCAAGUAGUUAUGUGGGCCAAAAGUGUAUCAAAUGGACCUAAAUUAAUCAUGCUGUACCCCCAUAUGGACUUACUAUAAUUCCUGGGUUUGGGUAUAGACAGUAAAUCAUUCGCACUCUACACUGACAAACCCCCUUAACCCAACUUCUUUCACAAACACCAGAUGCUCCGAUGGUACUUGAAAUACGUGAAUCUGAAGUCUUGAUCCUCCUCAGAUACCUGAGUUGCCAGGUAUUGAAGCUGAUGCCUCAUUGAGGCCAUAGUAGACCAACUUGUUCAUCGGACCUCCCAUCAUCAACCAUGGUACUCUACUUCCGUGUGCAAGGGAUAACCAUAAACUGAAAGCAGAGUUCAAAUUCUGGCAAUGUUAGCUAAAAUGGUACCUGGUUUUACCAUCUUAUUCUCAAACUACAAGUCACUAUGACUCUAUCAGUGGCAGUAAUACUACUGCUUGGUUUUUACUUUUCACUGCUGUUUCCAGGAUAAAUGAGCUAAUAACAUUUAAUAAGCUAAAAUAAUUCCUCCAUCAUUGGCAUAUCUGCUUUGCAUAUUUUAAAAUUACAAAUACUCUGCUCUAACUACAUGCAAGACCUGAUGAUCUACAGGAGACCAUCUGUGAACAUCUUUUCUGAUGUGAUUUAAAAUGUGGCUAUUUGGAAAGUUUUCUUCUAGUCAUUUGAGUGUUUUAAGAUGGGUCUUGAAGUCUGGUACCAUCAACUGUAGAUAUUAGGGAUAUUUUGAGGUAGGCACUUGCUGAGAAUCUCAAAUUGUGUAUAAUCUUUUGCUAAAAAUGUAGACUGACUUGAAAAAAAAUUACAAAUCCUGCAGCUAAGGAUUUUGUCAGUAGAUUCAAGCUUCCUGUUGUGCUUCCUAAUGUCACAAGACCACAGUCCCUUGUCCUUGUGAAUAUGUUCGUGGGAUUAUACCUGUCUCAAUACUGUUUGAACACAGAUUCACAGUGGCCAACUUCAUUCCUCAGGCAUUGAGACAACUUACCUGUUUCUGCAGGAAGGAUUCGAUUUGUGAACUUCAGACCAAAUCAUGUUAAACAAGUAGACUGAAACCUUAUUUACUGCACAGUUGACUUAAGGGCCAGCUGUCCUCAACUACUUUAAUAAUGAAUGCACUGGUUAAAUGUUGGAAAUGGUUUCUGUAUCUCUUAUCCACUAGACUAAUUAUGAGAACAUGAGGUAGUCUUCAAAUCAUUAAUCUAGGCCUAUGCCUAGUUACUCUAGACUGCUUACUAUCAACAAAAAUAAAAUGAUGACUAUCCUGCCUGUAUAUACAACUAUUAUUUGUAAAGAAGAAAUCUACAAACUCACCUCUUUUACUGCCUUCAGAACAUCAGCUAGAUUUUUCUUCUGUACAGGAAAAGACAUUGAUCUACACUGCCAGUCACUCCCUUAAUUCCUGUCAAAAUGAGGGACUUAAGGUGAGAAUGAUCAUCUUUCAAGAGUCUAAUGAACACUGUGUAUAAGAAUUGAUGUUUGAAAAAGCAAAAUAAAACUAAAAUUGAAACCCAAGUUGUUAACCUACUAUCUCCAUGCCUCAUCUAAGUCCAGCAGCACCAUUCGACCAGUCUGAGGCCUUGCCUUGUCUUUGAUUCCCUGAGAUGUGCUGAAUUACAGAAGAUGGAGAUUUUGAUAACCAAAGAAAGUAGUGCCAAUCUUGAUGAACCCUCUUAUUCCCAGGUGUAGGAAUAGACACCUAAACAGAACCUCAAGAGAUGGGGAAUUCAGAAUAUAGCCUUCGGAGCUGAAAAUUCUUGUUGGGCAAAUGAGCAGGAAAGUGAAAUCUGCUGUACCCGGCUGGCUAUUUUAAGAUCUGAAAAGUGUAUCCAGAAUAAACACUAUGGAUUAACCCUGGAGUAUUCCAGGUAAAAACUAAUUCACAGGACUUUAAUAUUAAACUACGUGUUCUUCCUUAUACCCUUGUUAUUGGCCCUGCUGAAGGUACCCUAUUUAUCUAUUUACCUGUCUCGGCCUUUGCCUGCCUUUUUUUGACACAUUACUGCAAUCAAACUUGCUGUCCUGGAACAGAUCACCACUGAUCUCAGUCUAUCUUAUACCAGAUUCCACCAAGGAGUUUUUAACUGAAGCAACCUGCACCUCACUCCACCAGGAUUUCCAUGCUGUAUACUUUAAGUGCAGAGUAAGCCUCAGCCUAUAUAUGCUUUAUCAUGUUCAGAACCUGGAGCUCCUCCUAGCAGAUCUGAAGGAGGAUAGCAGAUAAAAAGCACUGUCAAUUUCUCUCUUCUGCAGUAAUACAGAAGUUGAAUCUGAUUCAACAGCACAGAAAUGAGAAGUGUCCAACUUGGCAAAAGACUUGAACACAAAAGAUUUCCAGGAACUUCACAUCUACCACUGACUUGAAUAGCCUCACAGAACUACUUUCCAUUGGGAGACUAGUUGUCUUGCAUUAUGUCAACUAGAUAAGUGAGCUCUCAGACUCUUAUAUUGAGUCUCUAUUGUAUCAUCUAGAGUAUGUUACUGGACAUGAUUAUUCCAUACAAAUGGUUAUAAGCUUCCUGACGACAGACAUACUCAUGAUGUGUGUGUUUUUCAGAAUACUUUUAUUACCAAGAAAGAAUAAUGCCAGCUGUUACAAUUCAACUUUAUGAGCAGAGAUUAAGCUUUUUCAAUAUCCGAUGUUAUCAUUGAUAUCAGUUACUCUUAAUUGACCAGCAUUUACUCCAUCUCUUCGUGACAACUCCCUGAUGUUUCUUGGAACCGUAUCUCCCUAUUUUCAGUCCACAGAGUCUAGACAGUCCAACCUAACCUUAGAGUUCAUGUGUGAACAUACUGUAGUUCAGACCUGAUCAAUCAGCAUAGUUCAUCUCCUUGAUCAUAGUGAUUGAUUCGAUUCAGGAAUGGUCAUGUGGUUCAAGUUGAUCAAGUGAUACUCAACCCUAGGAGUUGACUGAACCAUGGAAGAGGAAAAGCUCAGAAACUAUUUACUGAGGUUGCUUGCCUUUGCAGGAUGAACAAGCUCAAACCAGCAGGGUCCACCAUAUAAUGAGCCAGUCAGAGAAUGAAGCCAGUGCAGAGGAAGGCGGAGCCAAAUGACGGAGAGACUUGAUUCCUGAUGACAAUGUUUGUGCUCCUAGAUCCAUCUGUGCCUGAAGCUAGUAUAUCCUCUGGAUUUUUCAGUUUUGUGAACCAAUAAAUACCCUUUUGUUUAAGUUACUUGGAGUUUGGUUUCUAUUGCUUGAAAUUGAAUCCAAGUAUUAAAC